rnacentral:rRNA from 1 species
GAUGAACGCUGGCGGCGUGCCUAAUACAUGCAAGUCGAGCGAACAGACGAGGAGCUUGCUCCUCUGACGUUAGCGGCGGACGGGUGAGUAACACGUGGAUAACCUACCUAUAAGACUGGGAUAACUUCGGGAAACCGGAGCUAAUACCGGAUAAUAUAUUGAACCGCAUGGUUCAAUAGUGAAAGACGGUUUUGCUGUCACUUAUAGAUGGAUCCGCGCCGCAUUAGCUAGUUGGUAAGGUAACGGCUUACCAAGGCAACGAUGGUUAGCCGACCUGAGAGGGUGAUCGGCCACACUGGAAGUGAGACACGGCACCGACUCCUGCAGGGGGAAGCAGUAGGGAAUCUUCCGCGAUGGGCGAGUGCCUAACGGAGCAACACCGCGUGAGGGAUGAUGGUCUUCGGAUCGUAGAACUCUGUAAUUAGGAGAGUACAAAAGUGUAAGUAACUAUGCACGUCUUGACGGUACCUAAUCAGUAAGCCACGGCUAACUACGUG